rnacentral:rRNA from 1 species
UACGGAGGGAGCUAGCGUUGUUCGGAAUUACUGGGCGUAAAGCGCACGUAGGCGGCUUUGUAAGUUAGAGGUGAAAGCCCGGGGCUCAACUCCGGAAACUGGCCUUUAAGACUGCAUCGCUUGAAUCCAGGAGAGGGUGAGUGGAAUUCCGAGUGUAGAGGUGAAAAUUCGUAGAUAUUCGGAAGAACACCAGUGGCGAAGGCGGCUCACUGGACUGGUAUUGACGCUGAGGUGGCGAAAGCGUGGGGAGCAAACAGGG